UUUUAACUGGUUUUAUUGUCAACUUUUUGAGACAUGAAAACGAAAAUAAAGAAUCGCAGCGCCACAAAAUUUAGCGAGAAAUGCCUGAACCACUCAAC
rnacentral:lncRNA from 1 species